GUGGAAAAGGGAUGUGAACCCCUAGACUAAUGACAUCUCCAAGAGCUAAUUGGAGUGAGAUGUCAGCCAACUGGAGUCCAAUCAAUGAGAUGAGAUUGGAGGUGUUGGUUACAGCUGCCCUGCCCUAUAAAAACACACACACCAGUUCUGGGUUUGCUUUUCACAAGAAGCAUUGCCUGAUGUGAAUGAUGCCUCGCACAAAAGAGCUCUCAGAAGACCUACGAUUAAGAAUUGUUGACUUGCAUAAAGCUGGAAAGGGUUAUAAAAGUAUCUCCAAAAGCCUUGCUGUUCAUCAGUCCACGGUAAGACAAAUUGUCUAUAAAUGGAGAAAGUUCAGCACUACUGCUACUCUCCCUAGGAGUGGCUGUCCUGUAAAGAUAACUGCAAGAGCACAGCGCAGACUGCUCAAUGAGGUGAAGAAGAAUCCUAGAGUGUCAGCUAAAGACUUACAAAAGUCACUGGCAAAUGCUAACAUCUCUGUUAGCGAAUCUACAAUACGUAAAACACUAAACAAGAAUGGAUUUCAUGGGAGGAUACCACAGAGGAAGCCACUGCUGUCCAAACAAAACAUUGCUGCACGUUUACAGUUUGCACAAGAGCACCUGGAUGUUCCACAGCAGUACUGGCAAAAUAUUCUGUGGACAGAUGAAACCAAAGUUGAGUUGUUUGGAAGAAACACACAACACUAUGUGUGGCGAAAAAAAGGCACAGCACACCAACAUUAAAACCUCAUCCCAACUGUGAGUAUGGUGGUGGGGGCAUCAUGGUUUGGGGCUGCUUUGCUGAGUCAGGGCCUGGACGGAUUGCUAUCAUCGAAGGAAAAAUGAAUUCCCAAGUUUAUCAAGACAUUUUGCAGGAGAACUUAAGGCCAUCUGUCUACCAGCUGAAGCUCAACAGAAGAUGGGUGUUGCAACAGGACAAUGACCCAAAGCAUAGAAGUAAAUCAACAACAGAAUGGCUUAAACAGAAGAAAAUACGCCUUCUGAAGUGGCC